GACGAACGCUGGCGGGGUGCUUAACACAUGCAAGUCGAACGAAGUGGCGAACGGGGGAGUAAUACGUGGGUAACCUGCCCUCCUUGUUGGGAUAAGCUAUGGAAACGGGGUCUAAUACCGACAAUUGGGGGGUGGGCUCGCGGACUAUCAGCUUGUUGGUGGGGUGAUGGCCUACCAAGGCGGUGACGGGUAGCUGGCCUGAGAGGACGACCGGCCACAUUGGGACUGAGACACGGCCCAGACUCCUACGGGAGGCAGCAGUGGGGGAUAUUGCACAAUGGGCGAAAGCCUGAUGCAGCCAUGCCGCGUGUAUGAAGAAGGCCCUAGGGUUGUAAAGUACUUUCAGCCGGGAGGCGUUACCUACAGAAGAAGCACCGGCUAACUCCGUGCCAGCAGCCGCGGUAAUAC
rnacentral:rRNA from 1 species